AGAGUUUGAUCAUGGCUCAGGAUAAACGCUGGCGGCGCACAUAAGACAUGCAAGUCGAACGAACUUAACCUUAGUUUACUAAUGGAGCGGUAGUGGCGGACUGGUGAGUAACACGUAAGCAACCUGCCUAUCAGAGGGGAACAACAGUUAGAAAUGACUGCUAAUACCGCAUAUGCCUUGAGUAUCGCAUGGUACAAGAGGGAAAGGAGCAAUCCGCUGAUAGAUGGACUUGCGUCUGAUUAGAUAGUUGGUGGGGUAACGGCCUACCAAGUCGACGAUCAGUAGCCGGACUGAGAGGUUGAACGGCCACAUUGGGACUGAGAUACGGCCCAGACUCCUACGGGAGGCAGCAGUCGGGAAUAUUGCGCAAUGGAGGAAACUCUGAACCGCAGUGACGCCGCGUGCAGGAAGAAGGUUUUCGGAUUGUAAACUGCUUUAGACAGGGAAGAACAAGGACAGUACCUGUAGAAUAAGCUCCGGCUAACUACGUGCCAGCAGCCGC
rnacentral:rRNA from 1 species